rnacentral:lncRNA from 1 species
CGGUCCAUAUCUCCUGACCUGCUUGGCCCAAUGCCCCUUCCCCCUCGUUUAAACCAAAUUAUUUCCCUUACGCAAAAGGAAAAAAGGACCCCCCCCCCCUUUAGAAAACCCUAGUAGCCGUCCCCCAAUUCCAAAAGAGCUCUGAAGAGAGACGAUUCACUGAUUUUCACUCUCCCUCAUCCGAUCCCUCACACUCUCCUCUCACCAUUGACAUACACACACAUCUCACCUCUGAAAAAAGUUAAAACAAACCCCUGAAUUCCAAUUUUGUACAUCCAGAUCUGAAGAAGCAAAACAGAAAACCAAAACAAAAAGAUUUAAAAGGCUUUUCUGAUUUUUGUUGUGUUUACUUGGAGAAUUUAUGAGAUUCUCAGAAGUUGAGGUCGAUGUUGCUGUUCUUCUGCUGUUUGCUAUCAAAAUCGUAGUUGAACUUCCUUCGUCUCCAUUUCUGCCUUUUAUCAGUUGUUCCAAACUCUAUUUGUCGAGUAUUUUAGGUACACAUUCCUGAAUCUGUACUAUUUCUUCAUAAAAUAGCUGAAAUCAUGAAUGAAUUGUGUUUUGAUGUUCAAUCUCCAUUUCUGGGAUUGCUUUCUUAAUAAAUUGCUCAUUAGACUUAAAUCUGAUUUCUUUAACGAGCCAAAGGGGGUCACAAGUUUUGGCCGUUUGCUGGUGGUUAUAAUGACCAUCAUAUUACUUGAAAAUACUACUUAGCUUAAAAACAGCACUCACGGGUGUAUGCGUAGUCCAUUUGAGAUUCUAAAUGUAUGAAUUAAUUGUUGAUUGUAUUAAAGCUAGUACCAGGUCAAUUUGUUGAAGUGGUUAAUUAUAAUCCAUUUGUGUGGGAUUCUUGUACUGAUUUGGCCCUGUUCUCAAUCGGUCAACUUUGUGGUUACUCGUAAAUGUGUAAUGAGCAUGGGGUAUCUCUGUAAUGAACUCAUCUGAGUUUGAAGUACCAAUUUCUUCCUGUUAAAAUGCCCCCUUAUGGCUCUGUAUUUCAUUUGGUCCAUUUCAGAGUUAGGACCAAUUUGAAAGAUCACUAAAUGAAAAGUGUUAGAAUAAGACUAGUUUAAUCCCAAAAAUUCAUAGUUUUAGCAGCCUCUUUGUUGAAUAAUUUCACGUGACUUAGUUUAAUAACAAUGAAGUUAUCCUCAAAGGUAAAUGCGUCCCUUUAUUAGUAAAUGGUGUAAAUAAUAAAAAGCACAAUCCCUUGUUCGCCAUUGAUUUCCAUUGUCAUGCCUUACAUUAAUUACAAAAUUAGAAUAACAAUUUUAAAUAUCAUUAUUUAUUUUAGGCGCGAUUAAUAAUAAAUCAUCGUGACUAUGGGUACGAUUCUCGUGGCAUAGUUAUGAUACAUAAUCCUAAUUCGAGUGUGCUUUUUACGCGACUCGACCAUAACUUCAAUUAAUAAUAAAAUCAACAUAUUGUAGAUCGCGAGUGCGUUUCAUGUGACGCGAUUCGCAAUAUGUAUAAAAACAAACGAAGGCGUGACAUCGUGAUUUGUUCAAAUAAAUUCCAUAAAUAUUAAAAGUGGUAAAUUAUUUACUUAAAAGCGAUUAGAAAGUUAAAAAUACACAAUAUGUUUUAAACAUAUAAUAAAUCAGAUAAUUAGGUCAAUUAUUAAUAGUUGAGCAACCGUGCUAAAACCACGGAAUUCCGGAGUGUCUCACACCUUCUUCCGCGUUAACAAAAUUCAUUACUCGAUCUUCUGGUUUUCGUGGACUUUAAAACAGAAUCAAUUUCCUCGAUUUGGGAUUUUAAAAAUAAACGGGUGACUUGGGACACCAUAACAAUUAUUCCAAGUGGCAACUUUAAAUUAAAUAAAUAAUCUCAUUUCGAAUAAUGUCACUUUAAUUGAAAAAACUUUCUAUUCCUCGGAAAAAAUGAGGUGUGACAUGUACGUUGUCCAUAAUAUAGAGUAAAAAGAAAAAAUAAUCAUAAUAUUAAAAGGAAUCUUUACACAAAUAGCCGGUCAUAUUCAUUGUUUAGAGAGAGAGAGAGAGAGAGUAUACACUGAUUAUACAUAAUUAUACAUAUAUUAUACCUCCACCGACUAUUUUAAGUAUAAGCGGUUGGGUAGACGACUAUUUGGGUUAAUUCUUCAUAUUAAAAAAGCAUUAAGAAGAUAAAGGUUGAUGAUUUAAAGGGUAAAUAGAUAUUUGACCACCGAAAGAUUGAGAAAUCUGGUUAUGUGACUUUCUAAGUAUUAUAGAAAUAGUUAAUUGAUUUUGUUAUUGCAAACAAAAGAAACAUAACUUUAUUAGGCAAUUUCAAAUAGUUGAAUAACGAUUUGAGUAAUGAAAUCUCUUUGUGUUAGGCUUGUAACGCCUCAAAUUAAUUCGAAUAGAAUUAGUUCUUUUGAUAGCAACUAGGGUUGUUCAAAACUGAAGCAUAGUCGAUAAUCAAACUGCAAAUUCGGCUUAUUGGUAUCGGGUUACAAGAUUAACGGUUGGCGAAUGAAUUAAAAUUUUAUAAUUAAUGAUUUAUUAGUUUAGGGACGAAUUACUUAAUCUUUUUUUCGGAUAAACCGUUAAUCCGUUAAGAAUUAUUAUAUUUAUAUUUUUACCCCUAUAUAUAUAUUUUAUCUAACUAGUUUGUAGCAUUUUAUCAUAACUACUUUGUAGCAUUUUAAAGAGCAAACAUGCUACUUUAUGAAAGGAGAGCAAGUUGGAAUUAAGACAAAAUCGUGGGAGAAGAUCGAUGAGUAUAAUCUCAGUCAUAACUAGUUUAUAAGUUCAACUUGUUACCUUAUUUUUGCAUUUUUCGUAGCUUUUGAGUCUUUUGGAUGCGCUAUAAAUAAAAAUUGUAAUGUUGGGGCUUCCCUUAUCGGUAUAAUUUAGAUUUUUGCAAAAUUUUAGGAGCUAAUAAUAAAGUAUUGUCACACCUCAUUUUCCCGAAGGAAUCGGGAGUUUUUUCAAUUUAAGUGACAUUAAUCGAAAUGAGAUUAUUUAUUUGAUUCAAAGUCGCCACUUGGAAUAAUUUAUGGUAUCUCAAGUCACCGGUUUAUUUUAAAUCCCAAAUCGAGGAAAAUUGACUUCGUUUUAAAGUCUGCGAAAAUCAUAAGACCGGGUAAGAAAUUUUGUUAAUCAGAGAGAAGGUGUUAGGCAUUCUCGGGUUUCGUAGUUUUAGCACGGUCGCUCAACUAUUAAUAAUUGGCCUAAUUAUCUGAUUUAUCACAUGUUUAAAACCUAUUGUGCAUUUUUAAACUUUCUAACCGCCUUUAAUUAAUUAUACGCUUUUAGCAUUUAUGGGAUUUAUUCGAAUGAGUCGUGAUAUCACGCACUCGUUUGUUUUUGUACAUAUUGCAAAUUGCGCCACGUGAAACGCACCCGCAAUUUAUAACAUGUUUAUUUUUAUAAUUAUUUUGAAGUUGAUUCAAGUCACGCGAACGUGCACUUGAAGUUGGGGUUAUGUAAUGACUUGCCUGGUCGUUUUGCUUUUUAGAACUUCGUUCCCCUAGUUAAGGCUUCUCGUACUUGCUUUUACUAAUUUAUGACUUGCGGGAAUGGUUGGUUCGGGAUUUGAAAGAGUUUGGGUUGAAAUAGGCACACUUGAUUCCCUAAGAUUUUCUUAAAAUGCUAAGUUUGACUUUGGCCAAUAUUUUUAGUAAACGGAUCUGCAUUUGUAUUUUGACGAUCCCGGAGGAUCCGUAGAAAAAUAUGGGACCUAGGUGUAUGCACGGAAUCGAAUUCUGAGGUCCCUAGCCCGAGUAAUGAAUUUUUGUUAGAAAUUUUUAAACUGAAAUUUUAAGGAUUUAAUGAAAAUGAAUAAUGCUUGAUCAUGUUGGUAUCGGGCCCGUAUGUUGGUUCCUGAGCCCGGUACAGGUCCAAUAUAAUAUUUGUCUUGUUUGUGAAAUUUGGUGAGAAACAGGACUGAUUUGACGUGAUUCGGACGUCCGGUUGAAAAGAUAGGAAUUUGAAUGUUCUUAAGGAUUUCAUGCGUUUUGGUGUUGAAUCCGUGGUUUUAGGUGUUAGUUCGGCGAUUUGAUCGCUCGAGCAAGUUUGUACAAUGUUGUUGGACUUGUGUGAGUGUUCGGAGUAGAGCCCCGAGGGCUCGGGUGAGUUUCGGGCAUGGGUUGGAAGUAGAAAACACACCAGAUUUCUGGUGUUUUUGGUUGCUGCAGCAGAUCUCGCAAUUGCGAGAUAUUAUUCGCAAAUGCAAACCUCGCAAUUGCGAAGGAGCCCGACCUAGGCAAAGUUUGCAUUUGCGAUAACUUUGAUGCAUUUGCGAACCCAUCAGAAGUCGCAAUUGCGACUCCUGUGUCGCAUUUGCGACCCUAUCAGCAUAAGCCCAGGGUUCGCAUUUGCGAGGCUUUUGUCGCAAUUGCGACCUCGCAUUUGCAAACCUGGUGUCGCAAAUGCGACAUCAGAGGCCUGGGCACAGCUUUUAAAAAUGGGACUUAGGCCAUUUAUUUCAUUUCACUUCUACACUUGGGCGAUUUGAGAGCUUUCAAAGAGAGGAUUUCAACCUUGCAUUGUGAGGUAAGUUAUUUCUACUUAAUGUGAGUUUAAUACUUGGGUUUUGCGUAGAUAAACACACUAAAAUUAGUGAAAUCAUGGGAUUUGAGUGAAAACCUAGGGUUUUGAUAAAAGUUAGAUUUAACCACGAAAUUUGUUAUGGAAUGAAGUAAAAAUCAUAUAUUAUUGAUCCUUAGGUUAUAUAGAACAACUUUCUUCGAAAAAUUUCGAAAUCCGGGCACGUGGGCUCGAGGUCGGAUUUUAGAAAACUUGUGUUUAAGGUUGGGAAAUUACUUUAGUAAUUAAAAUGCGAACUCUUGAGCAUGUAUUGACUAGUUCCUACCUCGUUUGGUUAGUUUCGGAUCGUUCGGCUCCAAAUUGAGGGUUUUGAGCACGUUCUUGGUAUUGGAAGUACACUUUGGAGCGAGGUGAGUCUCAUAUCUAACCUUGUAAGAGGGAAUUGUCCCCAUAUGUGAAAUAAUUAAAUAAUUUGCCAUUAAAUGCGGGAGCUACAUACGCACUAGGUGACGAGAGUCCGUGCGUAGCUACUAUUAUGCUAAGUCCGGAUAGUCUAAGACCCAAAAAUUUGCUUUAUGUGACAUUCUUGUAACUUUAUGAUUAAUUUGGAUUGUUUAAAUCACGUUGUUUGUGGUAAAUGAGACUAAUAAGAAGAACAUCAUUUUUCUUGGCCCUUUUAAGGAGAAGUGGAUAUUUCUGUAAGUAAUUGCUCCACGGAUAUAUAUUCUUGUCUGCCUAUUGCUGUGUUUAAUUACAUUUGACCGCGUCACAUGUCUGAUUCGCGAGCGGGGUAAUAGAUGCAUCUAUGGUUCUCAUCGUUCGACCCUCGGCAGUGCACAAUUUACUUUUAUGUUGGAUCGGAUUGUACGACUUCGGCACUACGUGCGAAUGCUUUUGCUCAGUAUUUCUCUAUGGAUUUGACUUUGUUAUAUGCCCUGAAAUGUAAAUGGUCAACUGUAAUAUCAUCUUGGAAAGGACCUGUUAUUUCUUUCUAUAAACUGAUAGUUAUUUGUACUAUCCAUGCUUAGUAUAAAUCUUUCUCAUAUUAUUUGACCCUAGUAAGUGUCAAGUCAACCUCUUGUCUCUACUUCUUCGAGAUUAGUCAGGAUACUUACUGGGUACAUAUUGUUUAUGUACUCAUACUACACUUCUGUACCUAAUUGUACAGGAUCUGAGGCAGGUACAUUUGGUUAUCAGUCUGGUGCGCGUCCCUGAUCACAGUCCGAGACUUCCACGGUGAGCUGCUCCCUUCCUAUGCCGUUCAACAGCUUGAUGGAGUCUCUCUUUAUUUUUGUAGUCUAUUCUAUUUCGGACAGUAGGGUAGAUUUAUUCUUAUGUAUAUUCUAUUAGUUGCCCACAGCUUGUGACACCAGGUCUUGG